rnacentral:rRNA from 1 species
UACAGAGGUCUCAAGCGUUGUUCGGAUUCAUUGGGCGUAAAGGGUGCGUAGGUGGCGUGGUAAGUCGGGGUGUGAAAUUUUCGGAGCUUAACUCCGAAAACUGCAUUCGAUACUGCCGUGCUUGAGGACUGGAGAGGAGACUGGAAUUUUACGGUGUAGCAGUGAAAAUGCGCAGAUAUCAGGAGGAACACCGGUGGCGAAGGCGGGGUCUCUGGGGCAGUAAACUGACGCUGAGGAGCGAAAAGCGUGGGGGGAGCGAAACAGGG